GAUGAACGCUGGCGGCGUGCUUAACACAUGCAAGUCGAACGGAGACAUCGUUUUCGGAUGAUGUCUUAGUGGCGGACGGGUGAGUAACGCGUGAGGAACCUGCCUCUCAGUGGGGAAUAACGGUUGGAAACGACCGCUAAUACCGCAUAAACGCAUUUGGAUCGCAUGGUCCGAAUGCCAAAGAUUUAUUGCCAAGAGAUGAGCUUGCGUCUGAUUAGCUAGUUGGUGAGGUAACGGCCCACCAAGGCGACGAUCGGUAGCCGGACUGAGAGGUUGAACGGCCACAUUGGAACUGAGAUACGGUCCAG
rnacentral:rRNA from 1 species